rnacentral:lncRNA from 1 species
AAUCACGAUGGUGGAUGUCUUUCAUUCGACUUCCGCUCGCUCCGCAUUAUCCUGCUCGUUCAUUUUCUUGUGUACAAGAUAACUCACCCACGAUGUGCGAGGAGCCAAGAAUCAAAUCUCCAACCCAAUCGAAAGCACUGUCCUUCGACAAGAGCUCCCGCGAUUCUUAUCAAACGUUAAUCAUCGAGAUGGUCUAUCGAGACAUCACACUAUUGCACGGUGAUCGCGCCGGUAUCUCGAAUUUCGUUGUAAUCUAGCAGAGAACUGAACGCCAACAAAGCGAUAAAGAAUAAUAAUCUUCUGCUAUUACUGCGAAUAGUUACGAUAGAAAAUUUCUUGGUAAACGGUAGAAACAGAUUUCCUCGUGUAUCGCGAUGGAUUAAGCGAUAGCGAUUAGUAAUAAAUACACCAAAGUUUUGUCAAACUGGUUGAAAACUGUGCGUAAAAUCGUCGGAGCAUCAUGUUUUGCAGAUUCUUCUCCGCUGCGAAGAUUCUCGUGCUGACUAAUUUCGUUCUCAUUGCGUCAGCGGUGCCAUUUCACGAUGUACGAGCGACUGACGAGCAAGUAAUAGUCAUUUCAACCGAAGUUGACAGCUCAUUGGAGGAUCGAAUGGCAGCCGGCAAGACGAAUCUCACGGGGCGUGUUUUCCUCGGGGAUCUGAGAGUUGGGAAUCAUGCCGAGAAGUUGUACACACAGCGGUACAGACCGGAAAGUUCGAGUCGUGGGGUGUACGUGAAACGAAAGUCAUUUUCAACGCCAGCUCUCCAGGAAAAUCGGCUCUAUCAAUUCGCGAUCGAGAACUCGGCUGAGCUAUUGAAUCUUUUAUUUUUUUCGCCUCUUCUCUCCUGAACACCGUGACAUUUCUCAUUACUUCAGCCUCGAAAAUGCAGACGGAAACUACCCAGUAACUUGACGCGAUCCAAACACCUUGAACUCUCCGUUUGUCGAAGGUACCUUCCGCCUUGCAGCAUGGACCACCUCGACCAUGACGGGGUUGGGGUCCACUAAAGAGCUUCAUUUCUUCAUACAUGUGAAUCUGUUGAUAAAAAUCCUCAUCGAGAACAUAAGAAGAAAACUCGUUUAUUGUUUCGGUGUUUUUUUCAAGAACGUAAAAGAAAACGAACUUUUUGUUCCCUCCUCAAAUUUCUCGAUUCAAUUCCCCUAUGGAAAAACUGUAUGCUGGAAAAAAUAUAUUGAAUAAUAUAGGAAAGAUGUGAGAUUGUAUGUAGCGACGAAAUAUUCUAUGUUUCGAUAUGCUUUUUAAAUAUAAGCCAACAAUAAGAGUCAUCGAUGAGAAGAACUGAUAAUCACAAAAAGCAUAUUUUCAGUAAUUUAUUCUCUAAAAAAUGGAAUAACAAAAAACGAUAUUUGAAGAAAGUUUAUUCGAAAAAAAUCGAAAAGGAGAAAUUUGACAGUUUUUGAACGAAACGAUUCGCGUGGAAUUCGCUAAUUUAUAACCCAUUUUGAAUAAUCUCAGUAAACAAACUGCGAAAUGAUGCUUCAAAUAGUAAUAUAAUAGCAAGAAAAUAGAAUUCACAUUAUUCGUCCCGAAUGGAUUUAUUCGUGUGCAGUCGUACCCACAUCUACAGACAGAGUCCAAAGGAGGUAAUUGAAACGAGAGAAUAAUACAAUGAACAAGUAUACUCCGAGUGUUAAUGUAUCAGAGCUACACUCGUUGCUGCCCUGAAGAAGCAGAACCACGGACGAUGGAAGAUACGAGUAGAACGAGAGCCACGAUCACGAAAUCCUAGAAUUAAU